GUUCCGGCAAGAAAGUGUGUUUUCAGAAAAAAUGUCUGAAAUGUGUGUUUAAGUUAGUUUAAGAGUAUACUCAUACUGUUAAUGUUAAGCCUAACGUCUAGCUCAAACUUGAAAUAUUAAUAGAACAGCUGAGAGGCAAAAAUGAGCUUAAAGUGAGAAAUUGGAUGGUGCCCUUGAGAGGGCUAAUGGGUUGUGGUUCAUCAAGUGUAUAUUCUGGGACAAGGGGAAUGCCACAUCAUCCAAACAGGAACAUCCGCAUUAAUAGUAGUGUGACAGUGUUGUAAAAUUAUUGAAGCCACAAGUAUUCUGGAUUAUGAAGAUACAGAUACAAUCAGCUCACGCCGUCAAACCCCAGUCAUGCCUUGGCAAAGUCAGAUUGUAACUGUGAGCUCAAGUCUACCCCAGCAUAAGCAGAGCGUGACUGGCAACACCAUAACUGAAACACUACAGCUAGAAGAAGCUGCUGAUGUAUCACCAUCUGAUAGACCUGUAUCACCUGUUCCCAAUCAUUCAAAAAUACUUCACAGAACAUACACAACUGUUCAAAUCCUAGAAAAAGAAGAGAUCCCAUUGGUUGUACAUUAAGAUUAUCAAAAUUAUGUUAACAUUUUAUGCUUGUUAAAUGAUACAUUUUUAGUUUAAUUUAUAAGUUAAAAUAUGCCUCCCAUUUUGUUAAUUCUUUAUUACAGCACUGGAAAAAGUAUCAUUUAUUACAAUGCAAAACUAAAAAUAAAUUUAGGUAAUUUUUGAUUUAGCAAGAUUCUAACUAGAUUCAGUAAUCCUCUAAACUAAUCAUGUAUAACUAUUUAAAUUUUUUUUUCAAAAUUUACAUACCAUGUGUUAUUUUAUCGCAUUAGAUCUAAAUUGUUGUUUGAUCUAAAACUCUUUCUUCUCUGGGUAUAGACACUUAAAUAUUAAAGAUAUUAAUAAUAUUUUAUAAUUCUAUUGAAUUCUACUUGUUAAGUCUCAUGCUAGUAAACAUAACAUUGGUUGGUGUUUCUCAUCACAAAGUAAUUUUAAAAAAAAAUUAAUCUUUAAAAUAUAAUAACUUCAACAAAAUAAUAAAAGUUAAUUAAAUUAAUUUCUGCAUUUAAUAAAAUCCUUCUUAAUUUGCUGUUUACAAAUAUUAACCAUAAACUUGAAAUAGAUUUGUAUAGCAGCAUUGAAUCAGAACUAUGUGUUGCCCAUAUAUGAAAAAUAUGCUCUUUAUAACAAUUAAUAAUCUUAUAAGAGCUGGUCAAUGACUUCAUGAGGUUUUUUGCUGAUUUU